CCCAAGAGGUGGAGGUUGCAGUGAGGCGAGAUUGCACCACUGCACUCCAGCCUGGGCAACAGAGCGAGACUUGGUCUACACGCUUUGUAAUCUAAAACAUUCUCUACCAAUACCUCAAUCAGUGAAUUCUUGCUUUAUUGAUACAUUCUAGUAUUCAGUUGUGAUUUUAAUAUGCUAUUUUGGUACUUUCUGCUUUCAGUUUUCAUUGCUGUGGCUAUUGCCUUAAACAGAAACAAAAAACUAAAACAAUUUUACAACCAUCCAAAAGAGGCUUGGAAACUUUUUUUUGGCUGGAUAUCCAUAGCACAAUUUAAUUCAGUAAACAUAAACAGUUAAAAUUAUUCCAGUACACAACCAUGUUUUAAAAAAGAGAUUACACCCAAUUUUGGCAACAACACCCAGGAAAUAAGCAUUCUUUUACAUUUGGUUCAAACUUUCUGAAUGGCAGUUGUGCAACACUUGUUGUGAAAAACUUUAGAAUAUUAUAAACAUGUUAAUCCUGUAUUUCCAUUUCUGUGAAUUCAUCCAAAAGAAAUAACCAUGGAUAUGGGUAGAGACAGAGCCAUAUGGAAUGCACACUGCAGUGGUGAACACAUGGCCCAGCUCUGCCAUCAAGGAGAAGAACGCUCCACCCUGCAAUGGCAGACUAAACAGUGUUUUCAGUGCAGAUGGAACGUUCAUCAUAUGCUGGGCCAUGAAACUAGUCUCAAUAAAUCCAGCAGGAUUGAAAUCACAUACCGGGCUUCUCCAACAAAAUGCAAUUUAAUUAGAAAUCAGUAACUGAAACUGGAACUCUUCUACACUGCUGAGUCUCACCCUGAGGCCCAGGCCGGAGUGCUGUG
rnacentral:lncRNA from 1 species